rnacentral:rRNA from 1 species
GACGAACGCUGGCGGCGUGCCUAAUACAUGCAAGUCGAACGCUGAAGGAGGAGCUUGUUUCUCUGGAUGAGUUGCGAACGGGUGAGUAACGCGUAGGUAACCUGCCUGGUAGCGGGGGAUAACUUUUGGAAACGAUAGCUAAUACCGCAUAAUAGUAGAUGCUGCAUGACCUUUACGUAAAAGGUGCAAUUGCAUCACUACCAGAUGGACCUGAGUUGUAUUAGCUAUUGGGUGGGGUAACGGCUAACCAAGACGACGAUACAUAGCCGACCUGAUAGGGUAAUCGGCCUCACUGGGACGGGGACACGACCGAGACUCCUACGAGAGACAGACGUAGCGAAUCCUCGGCGAUGGACGAAAGUGUGACUGAGCAACGCCGCGUGAGUGAAUGAGGUUGUCGGGCCGUAUGGGUCUAUAAGAAUGGAAGAAUGUAUGUGAGAGUGGAAAGUGAAGACUGUGACGGUACCUUACCAGAAAGCGACGGCUAACUACGUG